ACCAACUCCUACAGUACAACAUCAUAACAUGGUUAUGUUAACCCGAUUUAUUUGCAGUGAAGAAAAAUAAACUGGUUUGCUUACAUCCAAAAUGUUACAAGUUGAGGAAUGGUGUCUUUUGUUGUGUCCACGAGCUCUACAAAUUGAGCACAUCAUAUGCACACGUCCAAUUUUCUUUACAUACGACCUUCCUUACAGGUGCACUAUGACUUCCUCAGGCCCUUUUCUUCUUUUUUCUGUCUUUGCCCUCUUUUGGACACUGUCCAGUUGGGGGGGUUAAUUACUUCCGCAUUUACCUCCGACCGCAGCCUUAGCCCAUUAAUGGGGCUAAGAAUAUUAUUGUAGCAGUUCAAAUAAGACUCGGUCCUAUAGCAAUUAUCCAUAUAAUCCUCUGGCUCAUUCCUGCACUAGCGCAUGAAAGCCAUUGCGUAGAGGCAUGGAAUGCCACUCAACUCUCAUUUCCUACAAGCACAUGUUCUCUCUUCUAGGUCUACCACAAAAGUUCCGUAACUACAUUCCACUUGCCAUUUGGCACCACCCAAUAGUUGUACAAUACACUCCCUCAAAUUUUCAACUAACUUUUGAACCCUCUUUCUAAUCUUUGGACAAAGUUGACCCACAUAAUUACUCAUCUGGUCCUUCCUCCUCUGUAGUCUUCGCAUGAAGCUCAGCUGAAUGGAUCCCGACAUAUCCAGGAUCGAUCCUCUAAAAGCGUCUUAUUGAACCCUUCGCAUCCAUUGUUUAACAGUAUAUCACCCUUGGAAUGAGUUGCAAAAUGGGAUUUGCUCCAGCCCUGUGCGGGUCUUUCCAUCAACCAAAGAAAACCAUUUUCACUAAGUUGUUGGAUUUGUUGCAUCCAAUGUUUGAAGUCCGCAAUAGUGGUUAACUUGGCAGCAUGCCAAAUAUAGUUUUUAGUGUUUUUCCUUUGUGACUAGCAGAGAAGAAAUUGGAGUACAUAUGUCGCACACAAAAUCUAUGCUCCAUCUGAUGUGAUCCAAGAUGGGCUUC
rnacentral:lncRNA from 1 species